CAGAUGCCCGCAAGCAUGUUCCUCCUCACUUGGGCAGAGCAGAGAUCAUGUUGCUGAAAUGUGACACCCAGCCCACUGGCCUGCCAGCCGUGUGGCCACCCUGGCACCAGUGCACGCGCGAGCCGCCCACCCGUGAGCCAUGAACAUCCAUCACCGUGACUCACAGCUGCUGCCCUGCUUCUCCUGCCGACGCCUCCCGGGAGCCCGGGGCAGGACCUAAAGGUAUUUCCUGGCCUGCUACUUCCUGGGUCUUCCUGAGCCCCUCCGAGCCAAGGCCGGCCCAGCAGGCGCCUGUGCUUCUGUAGUCUCUUCUGCCCUGCCUGCCCGCUCUGGGUUUGGUGUAAUAGAAAGAGAUGUGGAUGAGGAGCCGGGCACUUGGGCCUGGGUGGCUCUGCCACUCCCUAGCACAGCACUGAGCAAGUCAUCCCCCGCUCCAGCAUCGGCUUCCUUUUCCGAGAAAUGGGAACACUUGCAUCUCCGCUACCUACGACACUGAGGUGUCAUGGGGAGAAAAAACCCUAGAUGGGGAAGGCCUUCGGAAGAGGAAGGCAUGCUGGUAAAAAAAACUCAUUCACAUGACAGAGCAACGCUGGUGGUGUUUAGGCAAGCUCCCGAAAGACGCAUGGAAUCUUCUCUUUACGAGGUAAGUGGCUUGAUCGCACUGUGGCUCUGUGAUCCAUCUGAAGAAACACGCGGGAUGGCUUACCACCCUGACUGCUCUUCUGGAAAGGAGGCCAGCAGCUGAGCAGCAGUCAGCACGGAGGUACCCAUCAUGGAGCCACAGCCUGGCACGAAUUGAUGUCUGGAUCCAGGCAGGGUCACCAAAGGCAGGAGAAGAAUCCAACCAUCAUGCUGUGAAAAGCCCAACGUAACCACAUGGAGAGGCCACAUGGAAAGGAACUGAAGCUGUGGUCAACAGCAGCAGUUGAGUUCCCAGUCAACAGCCAGCUCCAACUUUCUAGUCAUGUGAGUGAGCCAUCUUGGAAGUGCAUCUUGCAACCUCAGUCAAGCCAUGUUAGCUGGCAUCAUGAAGAGCAAACAUGAACCAUCCUUGCUGAGCCCUGCCCAAACUGCAGAAUUCUGAGCAAAUAAAUGUUGUUCUUUUAGGUUACUAAGUUUUUUUUUUCUCUGAUUUCUUUUAUUAUUAAUUAUUAUUAUUAUUCUUAUUAUACUUUAAGUUUUAGGGUACAUGUGCACAAUGUGCAGGUUAGUUACAUAUGUAUACAUGUGCCAUGCUGGUGUGCUGCACCCAUUAACUCAUCAUUUAGCAUUAAGUAUAUCUCCUAAUGCUAUCCCUCCCCCCUCCCCCCACCCCGCCACAGUCCCCAGAGUGUGAUGUUCCCCUUCCUGUGUCCAUGUAUUCUCAUUGUUCAAUUCCCACCUAUGAGUGAGAACAUGCGGUGUUUGGUUUUUUGACUUUGUGAUAGUUUACUGAGAAUGAUGAUUUCCAAUUUCAUCCAUGUCCCUACAAAGGACAUGAACUCAUCAUUUUUUAUGGCUGCAUAGUAUUCCAUGGUGUAUAUAUGCUACAUUUUCUUAAUCCAGUCUAUCAUUGUUGGACAUGUGGGUUGGUUCCAAGUCUUUGCUAUUGUGAAUAGUGCCGCAAUAAACAUACGUGUGCAUGUGUCUUUAUAGCAGCAUGAUUUAUAGCCCUUUGGGUAUAUACCCAGUAAUGGGAUGGCUGGGUCAAAUGGUAUUUCUAGUUCCAGAUCCCUGAGGAAUUGCCACACUGACUUCCACAAGGGUUGAACUAGUUUACAGUCCCACCAACAGUGUAAAAGUGUUCCUAUUUCUCCACAUCCUCUCCAGCACCUGUUGUUUCCUGACUUUUUAAUGAUUGCCAUUCCAACUGGUGUGAGAUGGUAUCUCAUUGUGGUUUUGAUUUGCAUUUCUCUGAUGGCCA
rnacentral:lncRNA from 1 species